AAAGGCCGCAUAACGAAGCCCACUUGCCGGAUGGCAACUGGAAUGCAAGGAGAACAGGCGUGGCACGUAUCGCUGGCGUCAACAUCCCGACU
rnacentral:sRNA from 1 species